ensembl:snRNA U2 U2 spliceosomal RNA
UAUUGGUCCUCUGAUAUGUCCUCCACAGGAGGUCUAUAUUGAGCAGAUUCUUUUUGGUGUUGGGUGGUGGAACUGGAGCUUGCUCCAUCCACUCCAUGCAUUGACCUGGUAUUGCAGUGUUUCCAGGACCAGUGC